GCAGACUUAAAUCUGC
rnacentral:misc_RNA from 1 species